CUGUGAAGCAGGGUAAGACUGAACACUUUGGUCAUGGAACAUGUGUUGUCGGAGCACUAUGUGCUGGCGAUACACAUAAUCAGCUUUCACCCUUGUAGACAGCGCAUGUACACCCCAUACUCCCUGCCUCUCUCUGCUCUGAGCCUGGAGAUUGGUCCAAUUAAAUGCUUCUCUGUGAAGAGCCUUUAAAAGUACGUUGGAAAGGCAAGAAGUGGUGCAGUGUGGAGAGGAACCUUGCCCAAAUCUCGAUUUCUAUUACGUUCAUUCUUAUUUCACAGGUUUUGGCACUAAAAAAAGGUGGGUAGACAAAGUUA